AUAGUGAUCUUAAAAGACGCUAGCUGUUUUAGUCAAGUAAAAAAGUUUUUUAUCUUCCAUUUGCGGCGCUACCCAAUUGAUUCAGAUCUAUUCAUUAACACCUAUUUGAGCACGUGAUGCAAUUGUCUUAACAGGUUACAUAUUUAUUUUGCCUCAGGUUCAAGCCAGAGUGAUUGUUCGCGGUCUUCUUGUUCGAAAUGCUCGCAUGGUGACAGUGCCAGUGAACAUUCGGACGGAAAUGUUCCUCUUCUAGCUCAACUUCCACCGCCUUUGCCUAUUGUCCGCCCCCCUCCUACUCCAUCCUCAUCAUCAACGGUUCAAAACUCACACAAGCAGAAAGUCAAGUUUUCAGACACUGUUACUCACAUAACUGUACCAAAUAUCUCACCUCAACCUGAAAUAAAUAGUGAGGAAUUGAUUGACGUACAUUCCAACAGAAAUUUCACUUCAAACUCAUUGAAUUUCCAACAAUCACCAUCGUCAAGCUCUAAACAAGAUCCUCUACCGAAAGUCACAAUACCAUUGACUAAAGAUUAUCUGAAGCAUUUGACUAAGUCGGCCAUCAAGACAAGUAAGUGAUGAGCAAAUUUAUUUUUACUCAAAUUUAUCCUUUACACUCGAUUUUUUAAUUUAUAACUCCAGCUGGUCAGCAAUUAAAAUUUUUUCAUCCACAUCAAGUUCUUGGAAAGAACAAAUUCAAGUCCUCAGAGACUGAGCUGCACCGACGAUGGGUCCAGUUAGACCCGAAACAUGCCUGCAGUUGCCUUUCUGAUUGAUUUUAACUAGUAAUGCUCCAAACAGCACAACUCAUUGGAGAAAUAGCUGUGAUUUAGUUUUCUCCCCUCAAAAUGAGUACUACUGUUUUUACAGAAGGAGCCCCAUAGUUAUGAUGUCAUGUCACAAUCUUGUUUCUGAUCUUAAAAGUGCUUUGAAAACGGAUGGGGGUGGCAAGGAGUUUUUAAAGAGUUGUAGUACAAUUUUUUCCAUGUAAAUUUCAAGAAAAAACCAAAUAGCUCAUUGAAAAGUUUUGGAAAGCACUUCUAAGUGGAGAAAAAGCUAAUAAAAUUCCAACAAAUCAAAAUUGAAUAGUUGAGUUUACAUAGCAAGGCGAAGCCUGAAGCUCAGUUUAAGUUUAGCCAAUCAGCAAAAGCUGUUUCCUAUGCCUGGCUAGGUCACCAGAGCCCACCAAAGAUAUCGUCUCAAACUUGUCUCAUUUUUGGCAUUUUCAAGAUGGGGUUUCUUUGCUAUUUAGGGUUUAAAAGAAUCGGGAAAAAUUCCUAGAAGCUUAGUUCUCAAGACAUGAUUUUAAAUAAAUGGGUGCCAUCGACCCAUUAUAAAAUAAAAAUAAAUUAACACAGGUGAAGAGUCUCAGCCUUUUAUUUGAGCCACUGAAUUGGAGACUAUGUAAAUACCCAUUAAAAAACAACUCUCUUGCUCAGCUAACUAAAAAGCAUUAAUUUUUGCAUUUUGCAGUGUUGCAAUAUUUUAACUUUUUAUACCCAACCUUCAUUCAUUCUUGAAAAAGUUAGUUUGUGCCAACAUGGAGUAUAUGCCAAAAUUAACAUUCACUAAAACUGGUUGUUGGCUAGAUAAAUUGGUAAUGUUGUGUAUAACUCCAGAAACAGAAUUUCAAGAUCAAGCUCAUGACUGGAUAAAGAUAACUGAUUAUGAGCAUUCACAACAGAAACUUUGCUCACCUACCCGUAAUCAUAGUGCAAAAAGAGAGCUUCUGUUCAAAGUUUAAAGCUUUCCUGUUGGGGAUUUUUCCAGUCAAAGGAAUGAAAUCUAUGAAAAUAUUUUGUCAAUGUCACAACUCUUAUAUCAUAGGUAAUUGGCAUCUUAAUAUCAAGCUCUUGGUUUGUUCCAGGUCGUGAUGAUGGAGAAAGCAAAAAUAUAAAGGUUGUUCACUUUGGUGUCGUAUGAAUGUUUCAUCUGCUUUCAUAUCGAAAUUCGAGCCAUUUAAAGAGUAUUUUUUUAAAAAAAUAUUUGCCAUUUUACUUUAGUUAAGUGUUAACAAUCAAUUGUUUUUGUACUCCUUGUUGACUGUUGAUUUUAUCAUGAUAAGUAUUUUCUCUGAGCGGAAGGAAGGUUUGUAAUUGGUUUUAAAUUACAAUUUCCUUCAACAAUUACAAUUAUUAUUCGUUCAGUGAAGUUCACUUGUGUCUCAAAGACUUGUAAUCAUGGCUCACUCUCCAUAAAUUUUGCAGAGUAAGUCUUUUGCCGUCCAGUUUUUUUAUUAUUACCCAUUGUGCUUUAGAUUUAUUUUUAACUGCAAUAUUUCACUUUAAUAGUAUGUAUUUUAUAUAAAAAAGUAUCUUGCUUUAAAAAAAACAAAAAACGGAUGGGCUCUGUUUUAAAUGAAAAACAAAGGGAUAGAGAAAUCUGAGAAACUCAAACAUAACAAACAGAAACAUGAAUAAGUUUGUUAAAAGAAUGAUUUGAACAUAAAUAUUUUUUUUCACUCAUCUUGGGAUCUUGGCAUGGUCUAACUGGUGUGCGAUAUAUUGCAUCAAUUAAGUAAAAUUUGAAAAAAAUUGAUUGACUAAUCAAAUGUGACAUUUUUUCAUAGUCAAAUUCUGUUUCAUCUCUCCGAACUUUGUAAUUUUUUUUCGUUGAGAAUAACUCAUUAGACUCAUGCGCAGGGCAAUCAUAAUUUUUUUGGCUGGAGCAAGAUAAUCUGCUAAGAUUUUUUACUUUACUGAUGUAGUGUAUCGUACACCAGUUCUACCAUGUCAAGAACCUAGGACAAAUCACCCAAAUGCAAUGAAGGUGUACUUCAAGUGUACCGGAUCUCAAAAUGUUCCUUUGCCCAUUGAUUUUCUAGAAACGCAAAGGAAUUGAUACUCAAAUUGACCAGUUUAAGUGCCUAAUUUUUGUAAAUUGAGUUGAUUUUUGAACAAAUUGGUACCUAAAAAAGUUUUUUAUGCAUUGACUCUGAAGUUUUGUCUUGCGCUUAGUGUUUUGUAAGAGGCCCUGUAUACCCUCUCCCUCACUUCUUAUCAUCUUGAUUUCUUAUAUUAUUAUACAUGUAAAGAAUAUGCGUGCCUUCUCAAUUUGCCUUUUUAGGUACUGCUGCAUUUGCUGUUGGCCUGUAGCAUUCCAUUCAACUUCUAUUUGUAUGUGACACUAAAUUUUUUUAACCUGAUCAAAAAAAGUAGAAUAAAUAGGCAACCAUAUGUGAACUAAAUUAGUCAUGGAAGUUGAUGAAGGUCCGAAAAAGACUUCUCAAAUAUUUUGCAGCAACUCUUCUAAAAUGGGGCUGGUCAACUGGACCAAUUUAAAAAAAAAAUGCAUUAAGUUAGAACAGAGAGCAAGAGGUUUGAAGUU
rnacentral:lncRNA from 1 species